UUGAAACAUUGUAAAGGGGAGUUGAGCUGGUCCUUCAAGGGCAAGUGCUCGCUCUUCUUUCAAUCUUCAUCCACCUGUGCACCUUUUGUAGCGAGCUCGAGAAACGUGAGGCUCUUUAACUAGGGUCUCUAAGUAUCGGUGCUCUCUAUGUCUUUACCCACUCUAAAUGUAUGUCGUUGAAUGUCUUUAUAAGGGACUUAGUUGGCCCUUUUAAAAACUAUA
rnacentral:misc_RNA from 1 species